CAAGCCCUUGGCUCUGCGAGGUUUGUAAUGUCUGUCCCUUCUCCCACACCUCCCCCUUUGUCUAGGGUUUUCAUUGCUGUGAAGAGACACCAUGACCACAGCAAGUAUUUUAAAAGAGAACAUUCAUUUGGGGCUGGGUUACAUGUUCAAAGGUUUAGUCCAUUAUCAUCAUGGUGAGAAACAUGACAGUGUGUAGGCAGCAAGGAGAGACCGUGUAUCAUAUUGGGUGUAGCUUGAGCAAAUAUGACUUCAAAACCUGCCCCAUAGUGACAGACUUCCUACAACAAGGCCACACCUUCUAAUGGUGCCACUCCCUAUGGCCAAGCAUCCAAACACAUGAGUUUAUGGGGGAGGGGGGGGACCUUUUCAAACCGCCACACCCUUCCAGUUUCCUUACUCUAUCUCUACACCAAGGUCUGUUUCAAUUAUCCUCUUUAUCAGGAGCAUAAAGAAGGCAGUUGUCAUAAUUGAACUGUGAUUAGGGUAAUAAAAGUAAUACAUUUAAAAUACAGAAGUAGCUGUGAAAAGUUGGAUAGGGAACGGAAUAAUCUAGAAACUGUAUUGAAUAUCCACAUUCCUGUGAAAACAACAGAGCUGCUGACUGACCUAUGGACCUAAGAAGAAUUCGGUAACCAGCAGGGUUUUUGUUAUUUUUUAGGAGAAAUAAUUUCUAGUUCGAGGUGGCAUGACUCCAAGUAAAUAGAAAAGAGGAAAACCCCAAAUAGUCUGCUUUAAUAUUUUAUCUUAUUUAUGUAUUAAUAUUAUUUUGUUUUAUAGUCAGACCUCUGAUAUCACAAUGGCUGAUAUAUUGUUUUGCUAAACUCGAGAGCUAAAUCCUUUUCUUUAAAAAGUAUUAUUCUGCCUUAUGUUAUAAAAACACUUGCCUGCAUUUAUGCCUAUACACCACACACGUGCCCAAUGCCCAGAGAGGUCAAAAUAGGGUGCAGAUGUCCAGGAACUAGAGCUAGAGAUGGUUGCAAACCACCAUCAGGGGCCUGGGAAUUGAACCCAGGUCCUUUGCAGGAACAGCUACGGUGUUCUUAACCACUGAGCCAUCUCUCCAGAUCCUCCAGCUAAAUUUUUAACAGCACCUAAGAUCAAAGGCCAUUAAUCUGGAAACUGAGGAAACAGAAAUCUUAUCACCCACCCUCCUUUUCCAGCUUUAUUUUAUUUGCCACUAAGAAGGAAGACAGUCUUUUACUGCUAACUUUAUCAUAUCUCUAGUUUCCCUCUACAUUUUAAUUUCCAAUUCAUAUCCUGAAAGUUUCUUGAGGCUUCAGAACUAUGUCAGAUACCCUUUCAGAAGCCUACCAUUGUGUCCUACCAUUGCACAGUACCUGUGGUGGUUUCUAUAUGCUUGGCCCUGGGAGUGGCAUUACUAGGAGGUGUGGCCUUGUUAGAGGAAGUGUGUUACUGUGGGCGUGGGCUUUAAGAUUCUCAUCCUAGCUGCCUAUAAUCCAUUCCUAGCAGCUUUCAGAUGAAGAUGUAGAACUCUCAGCUCCUCCUGAACCAUGCCUUCCUAGAUGCUGCCAUGCUCCCUCCUUGGUGAUAAUGGACUGAACCUCUGAACCUGAAACAUCCCAAAGGCCAGUUAGGAUACACUGGACAUUGGCUGAGAAGAGGAGUCGUUAUGCAAGAAAUUUAUUGAAGAAGACCUCUCCCGGAGUACCCAGAGGAGAAAGGGAAGUACAAGGUGCCUAUGGAGAUCAGAAGAGAACACCAGAUCCCCUGGAGCUGAAGUUACAGGCAGUUGUAAGAUGCUUAACUUCUUGCCUUACAGCAACCACCUCUCCUUGAUCUUCCUCAGGCUUUGUGACUGGAGGCCAUGUCCUCUGCCUCUUUCAUGGACAUAUGGAUGAAUGCCUGACCAUUUCACCUUCUAACAGUGAUGACCAAUGCAGGUCUGGGCUUGGGACAAGGAGAUCUGGGUAGGGGUGGGGAGAAAAGAUUGGUUGGACGUUUUAGCCUUCUGUUACUGUGACAAAAUGCCCAAGAAAGUCAAGUUAGUAAAAUAAAAGGUUAUUUUGGCUCAUGCUUUCGGUCCAUGAUUGCUUGGCACCUGUUACUUUAGGUCGGUGGUACAAGACAUCAUGGUAGCAGAAUGUGGCAGAGGCUGUUUCUACCUUAUGACAUUUGAGGUUCUAAUAUUCCAGUGACAUAACCUCUUUACAGUAGGCUCCCUCCUAAAGGCUCUACCACUCCUCAGUAGUCCUGCAGGUUGGGGACCAAGCCUUCCAUAUUUAGGCUGUUAGUGUAUAUCUCAGACCCUCUGGACAGGCUUAGGGACUGCAGUCUGCACUCUUUUUUUUUUUUAAAGAUUUAUUUAUUUAUUAUAUAUAAGUACACUGCAGCUGUCUUCAGACACACCAGAAGAGGGCAUCAGAUCUCAUUACAGAUGGUUGUGAGCCACCAUGUGGUUGCUGGGAAUGGAACUCAGGAGUUCUGGAAGAGCAGUCGGUGCUCUUAAACACUGAGCCAUCUCUCCAGCCCCUGCAGUCUGCACUCUUGACCUUGUUCUCUCCCAUAUCCCCAAACUUGUCUAUUACAAGGGAGAGCCUGUGUGUACCAUGCCCACUCCCAUGCUAGAACCACUGAGAAUCAGGUGCAGUGGGGAAGGGUUAGGGAGAAGUUGGAGACUACCCUGCAUCCUGGGAGGGGAGGAAGGGUUUUGAAGAAGAUAUAAAGAAGAUACUGGAAGGUUGGCAGGGGGGACAACCUAGGGAGCCUGAGAGAGAUGUAGAUCCUCAGAGAUCCUGGAGCCCUAGAGGAAAAGCCCUGGGCUGGAGAAUUAAUGAAGGUGGGAGGUUCCUGUGGUCCGGUGCCCUGGGGAGCUCUGCAGAAUGUUCACGGACCCCACAAGAACACUGGAGCUGCUGAUCAGGGAGGAAGGGGGGAGUCUAAAAAGAUUUAGGGGUCCCAAGAAAGAUUUUGGGAACCCUAGAAGAGAGAUGAUUGAGGAGUUGCAAGCCAAGACUAUGAUGUUAAUGACUACUAGGGAAAGGUCCCCCUAUUUUCCUCACCUUCACCAUCUCUGCUGGGGCCAGCCACUAAGACUCAGGCAUGUGAGCACAGGGAGAUGAAUUCUAGUCCUCUGAAAGAUCAGGAAGUGGGCGUAACUACUGAGCCAUCUCUCUAACCCAUGAAGUUGUGAUUUCUCUGAUUUUCGUAGAAGUUCAGCCAGAGAUCUUUCCCUUCCUCUUUGGGCUCUUUCUUACCCUGAACAAUUCUCUGUCCAGUAGCUAGCUGUCCUAAGAGGUCUCUUUAUUUAGCAAAUAGAAAGAGCUAUAGCAUGGAGUACAAUCAGAGCCUCUGCUUCCUUUCCUACAAGGCUGAGUGCUUGGAGGUCCAUUAGGAGAAGAGGACUGCUAGCAAAAAAAAGGUAAAUAAAUAAAAACAAAUUCAGGGAGAAAGGAGUUAUCAAAACAAAAGAUGUUAACUUCUCUCAGCCAAAAUGUGGGCAGCUCUGGCCUGGAAAGGCUUUCAGGAGUCAAACGGCUGGAGAAUUAAUGAAGGUGUCUUCAGCUAGUUUGUGGGACACCAGGAUUUCUAAGCAAGGCAGAGUUGACGGACAAGUCAGGGCAUCCUGGUAUGCUUGGUGGUUGAGUGGAACACAUAGAUGGGAGAUUGGAAAGAAGUCUGUAGAAACUGCCACCAUGUGCCUAAAGCUGGACUGGAGGCUGAGCGGAGUGUCAUGAACCCUGAAAAAAAUGAGGUGAAGUCAGAGUAGGGAAAGAGAGAACUAGCAGAACCCACUGGUGACAUCUGUCUGUCUGUCACAGUGUCCAGUCCACACGACCUUAAAAAUGUCAUGUGUUCUUUCUUGCAAAUCUCAUGUGAGUUCCUCUGCACACCAAUUCUUACUGAAAUUGUCCUGGGACAGGAAUCCUGGCAAGCGACGUCCCAGCUAUGGACAGGAACGGGCAUUAAGUUGACAAUUGUCAGAGACUGACUGACCCAUGACCAAAGACUACUGUUUUCCUCUGAGACCACCUGUAUCUUAUAAUUCCUGGGCCCGGUGCUAUAUUUUGGAGCCUAAAAAGAGACACAUUUUCACUGCCACCCAUUCCAACCCUCUACUCUCCAACCCUCAUCUUAACGUUCUAUUCCCUAGAGAUUCCCCAAAACUCUGCUGACCCCUCAGAAUGACUUUAGUCUGAGUGCACCAUCUAUGUUCUGGCUUGACCCAGACUGACAGUUGCUCAGCUGGCAACAAGUGGGAGACCACAGCAAAGCAAACUUAGCAUCUCGCAGCCAACAUCCAGCACCUGCAGAAGAGCGCCCCAACAUUCUGAAGAGACAUUCGCUCAAAACUAGGAAAAAAGAUAAAUAGUCUUUCGUCUUUAUGAUGAUUUUUUUUAAAGUGAACCUUGUUAUCUCUUUUAGGCAAAGCAAACUCAUUGUACUAUGAUCAAGAUAAAAGUAGUUAUUGGGAUAAUGUCAGUUACAUGUUUAUUGUUAUAUAUCAGUUAUAAAAAGUGUCACCACUCUUUGUGACAGCAGAGUCAAGACUUUAUCUGCUUCCUUGCCUACACAUUAAUGGUUUGUACUACAUUAAUCUUUCCUGAGUUCACAACACUUCAGGCAUAUUUUUGUGCAGUAGACGUGGAGUGGCCUUUUGGAAAUAUGGAUGGAUGUAUUUUGAAAGAAAUUUUACCUCCCUGUUUAACUAAGACUCAGGGCCGAAUAUUUUUCACUAAUGUUUUCAAAAGCAUUUUAUAGGAGAGUGAUUGGUCCUAAAAGAACCACCGCCUAGGUCAGAGACGGGGUGGGGGUGGGGGGGAAUAACAGGGACAAACCAAGCCUGUUUGACUGUUUGGUUGGAAUGUAGCUUAUUUGUUUAUGGACUGUUGUCGCCACUUUCUCAUUGUGGUGGCACAGUUGAAUGGUGUGCAGCAGAGGUCAUCGACCUACAAAGAUAGAACUAUUUAGCCCUGGAACCUUCAUUGGAAAAGGAUACUAAUUCCUGGUUUAAGUAAGAAAAUUUGGGAGCAGCUCUCUUCAUGAAGCUUUUCUUUUUCAAAAAGGAUUGCCCCGAGGUCCUGCCACAGGCUGACAAAAUAUGAAUAAAUGUCUUUUGAAAGUAUGAAAGGAGCUGUAUCUGAGGAAACUAGCUUCAGAAAGAGUCCUAGGAGCUGGGGCCUCUGAUUUAACUGUGUUCUUUAUUACACCGAUGGCCUUGUACAAAUUGCCUAAUCUACUGUUAAUUGUAAAACCCCUUGGGAGGACAUGUGGAGCACCCUAAUUUCUACCCCAAAGAAUCCAGAAGUUAGGGAUUCUGACAGUUAACUGUGACCAUCUUGGUAGGAUUUACAAUCACCAUGGACAGGCCAGCAGGAAGAGUCAGGAGGAAAAGGUUACUUGGUGGAGGGAGAGAACUGAAUCCUGCAAGUUGUCCUCUGGGUGUAUGUGCACCUACACACUCACAGACACAUAAUAAACAAAGUCACUAUGGAGACAGACUUCUGGGCAGGUCUAUGAGGGAUAAUUGCUUGAUUUGGCUAAUGGAGGUGGGAAGAGACAACCCGAAUGCCAGACUGAAUGAGGAGGAGGAAGCCAGCCGAGUAGCAUUUCUGUCUCCUGGCUUGUAAUGUGGCAGCCGCCAGGAGCUCUUGCUACCAUUCUUCCCUGCCAUGAUGGGCUGUAUCCCUAGACUUCGAGCCUCAAGUUGCUUUUGUCAGGCAUUUUUGUCUCAGCAACAAGGCAAGUAACGGGGAUUGUUAAACGUUGGAGCUGAAGAAAAGAAGACCCUGAUCUGUGAGAUUAAGAGAUUUAAAAAUACAUAACACAGCUGUAGAACUUAACAUUUACUAUUGUAUGAGUUAUGAAAUAAUUUCCUUACGGUUGUAAUACCAUUCCUUCAAAUACACAAAUCUUCUUCAAGGGACAUGUUGAGAGCAACACAGAAUGAGACAACCAACAACCAAUGAUACAGACUGCUAACUCUCUAUGCUAAGACCAGUUCUCCAGGCCCUGAGGAUGUUAGAGCCCCAGAGCAAUGAAGAACUCUACAGACACAUGGGCUCUCCAGAGGGUGCUUCCAACUACCUAACCACAAAGGUACACCAUGAACAUACAAACCUGCCGUGAUCUUCCCAUGUCCCUUGAUUGUCAAACCUGGAUCCAGAAAGAUCUAGACCUGGAACCCAGCCAAGAACCUCAGGAACAGACUAGGGUUUAGAGAAAUGAGUCUUACGUUCAAAACAAAUGAAAAGCACUGAUAAGUAAAGAAGUUAGGAAAUAGGUCUUAACUCUUCCCUGGUGCCUCUGAAGAGUUCAAAGUUCACCUGCUCACACUUGGUUCUCUGCUUAGACUAGAGUUCAGCACACAGAGUCUUAAUGAUUAAUCAGUGCCAGCACAGCCCUGGGGCCAAGAAGGGACUUUAUUUUCCUUUCACAGAUGAGGAAAGAGAGGAUUUGAGAAGUCAUCUUCUCUCCUUCAGAUGUCUUCUUGCUGAUUAAGAACACAUUUCAGGGUGACUGAUUCCUACUGUUUUCCUCCAAGUCAACCUGUAGACCUAAGGAUUUGGGCUCAGACUCAUUGGAUUUCAUCUCAUAAGCUGCAUGACCUCAUCAUUUGGGGGAAAUCUGUCUGUGUUUGUGCUUCCUUCUCUUUGAAAUGGUCAAAGUUCCUGCCUAUGCUCCUUUACGUGGGAACCGAAGCUCAAACGUGAUUAUAGAUACAACAUUGUGAUAUAAUGAGCUCAACAGAAUUUAUUUUCCUACGUAAAACCUACCCUAUUGAAAAAUAAAAGCAAAACUGCAACUGUAAUGGCAGCAACAUUCAAGAACUCAUUGCAGUAUCUUAAAAAGAAACAGUAAUCAUUUUAUUGGUUGCUUACAAGGUUUAGCUUUUCCCAGCUAAGUGCAAUCUAUACAGAACCAAGGCCCUAGAUCUAAAUUUAAUUUGUCCUAAAAAUGAAGGAACAUUUUUUUUUUUUGGUUCUUUUUUUUUUCCGGAGCUGGGGACCGAACCCAGGGCCUUGCGCUUCCUAGGUAAGCGCUCUACCACUGAGCUAAAUCCCCAGCCCCGGAACAUAUUUUUUUAAACUUGAAAUAUUUACUUAUUUACUUAUUUAUUUAUUUGCAUGUGUGGGUGCCCAUGUAGUGGACAGAGGACAACUUUGACAGUUGACUCUCACCCAUAGCGUUGGUCCUGGAAGUCUAACGACAGGUUCUCAGACCUGCUAGCACCUUUACCUCCUGAGCCAUCUUACUUGCCUAGAAUAUCUGAACAUUUUUUGAUGGUCUUGGUGACUUACAGUUUGUUUGUUUUAACUGUUAUGUAAAACCUGGGUAAAGGCGUUUUUUGUAAAUAUAUUUACUUGAUUGAUGAGAUACGGAACCAAAAUAAUUUUCCCAGUCACAUAGCUAGUAUCAUUUUUGAAGAGUAGGGUUUUCCCCCCACUAUUUUAGCAGUUGCUUAUUUAUGGAUACUCUAAGACAUAUAUAUAUAUAUAUAUAUAUGCAUAUAUAUAUGCUCUAAAUAAACAUAUAUAUUUAUUAAUACCAACUCCAAGAGAUGAAACUUUCCCUUGGUGUUAAGAAAUAACUUUUAGAAUCAUUGCAUACUUUAUGAUUUUAGAGGUUACAAAGAUGUAGUUUUCAGGAAGCUUAGGUCUAGGCUGUGGGAUUCUUACAAACGGUCUGGACCAGUGCAGACAGAUGCCUGACCGUAAGGCGUGGUGUAAUGACCCUGGCUUAGGACUAUUGAAUACAGCUCUUGUCAAACUGCAGUGUUUAUGAUGCCCUCCACUCUAAGCUUGAUUUGGGGUAAGAACAAAAAGUUCCUGUUACGUUGUUAAGUGAUCUGGGAGAUACUGUUGUACUAUGACUGGAUCCUUAGUCGUUUGAGAAAAAUUUACUUGAAGGGCACUGUGUUCCCAAGUUUUGGAUUCCCAUUUAAUCCUCAGUCAGCCCUGAGGUUCAGAGGCUUGUUGAGCUUUCGGUCUUUGUGGCUGUUAUUUUGGAACUGGUGUUGAGCUGAGAGCAAGAUUGUGACUAUAGAGAUAUCAGUUAUGGUCAGAGCCAUGCACUUUGACUAAGUUAUAAAGCGUGUGGGGCCGUUGUUUCCCUUUUACACCCACCUCUGUCCCUCCCUGAAGCUUCUACAAACCUGCUUUUAGAAAGCUUCCUUAUUUCUAAAAACACUUAAACUUCCCACUCAUCAGUAAUUAAAACAACUCAAAUAGACACAAAGGCCACCCGUGAGCCAACAGCUCACAGAAAUAAUGCACGCCUACUAAACACCAGGAAGCGUGGAGCCUCACUAGGUGUGGUUUUGUUUCCUGCUUCUACCUUCACGGUGUCUAGACACUGCUUUACUCCAGUGGGAGAAGGAUAAGGAGAAGUCCAGAAUACUUGGGUCAGCAGGAUCCUGGUCAGACACCAAAUGCAGAACAGGGGUGGAGGUGGAGGCCUUCUCAGGGAAAUUUAGUGUUACAGCUCUCUUAGAAAUCAUUCAAUGGGGGUUGGGGAUUUAGCUCAGUGGUAGAGCGCUUGCCUAGGAAGCGCAAGGCCCUGGGUUCAGUCCCCAGCUCCGAAAAAAAAGAACCAAAAAAAAAAAAAAAUCAUUCAAUGAAACAGCUCUCUCGAUGAGGUUUAAUGAAACAGCUUGUGAGCACACAUGUAUUCAGGGUGAAUCAAGGGCUCUAUAUGCACAAACCCUGGCGAGUGGGAAGGAGUUGUUCUUAGGAUGAAGUUGCAUUGGCUGAGGCUUAAGGAAGGUUCUGGGGGCAUUUGCAUGGAGAGACACUCCAGGAAGUUGAGUUUAGUAAUUUCACUAAGGACUAUGUAACAUUUCUCAGGUACAAGAUUGGGGGGUUGGGCUCCUCAGAUUAGGCUAAAAAUAGCAGAAGUCCCGCUAAGAAAAAGGAGUCCUGCAUUUUGCAUCAAGCUCAGAAAAGCUGUCCCAACAUGGUAGACUACAACCUUAGUAUUGAGGUGCAACGACUAGGAGGCAUUAAGACUUCAACUCAAAGAAGUCAUCACUUGAAAAGUGUUCUUGUUGAAUGGGCUUGGGGUGUAGCUCAAGGAUAGAGCGCUUUUCUAGCAUGCAAGAGGACCUAGGUUUGAUCCCCAAAACCACCACAUGGCUGACUGAGUGAAGGGAGGAAAUCAGUACUGAUCGAUGCCAUUGUGGGGUUGGGGACAGCACACAUGACAGUGUCAGACCUGAAAUUUGGGGACACACAUUAGUAACACCCAUCACCUCUCCAGAGUUUCUAAGUCAAUCUUCUUGGUGUUUCCAACUCGAUCACAUCUGUGACUGUCUUAGAAGUUUGUAUGGAUAAAGGUAUUUUACUACAAUGACUUACGAAACAAAAUCGGAAAACCUAAGAGUGAUGUUUAAAUGUUUAUCCGUAUAAUGUUCUCUGUGCCAUCAUAAAACGCUUAAGAGAAAUUCAUAAUGAUACAUAAGAUGUGAUUAGAGUCAGAGCAGGAAGUAGAACUUAUAUAUGAUGCUCAGGUUUAUAUUAAACAAAAAUAUAUAGAAAAAUAUCUUACUGUGUCUUCCGUAUUUACAAAAGCCAGUUUUUGCUGUUACUGUAAACAGGCAAUUGCUUGUCUGACUGCAUGUGCUAGACCCUGAGAAAUCUAUAAAUCUCCUCACUCACUCAUUGUUCUGUUUCUUUUUAACCUUUGCCAUGAAUGCUGCCAUUUACUUUUUAAAAACAGACUGUUAUAAACAGGUGACUUGGGCCAUCCUUUUGAAAAGAACUAUUUAAAAAAUGAAUUUUCUAAGAUAACAUUUUGAGAAGUUGAUACAUAAGCACCACAUCUACGUGACUUCUGCUCCUUGCUUCCCCCGACACUUUUGUGCCCCCAUCUCUCCCAAAUUCAUGAUCUCUUCUGUAGUUAUUUUUGUUAUACAUAUAUACAUGUACAUAGAACCUGCGGAGUCAGUCUAUUUAGGAAUCCUCAUAUACACAUGUGCCCAGGGCUGAACAGUUGUGAUUGGACAUCCAAUGCAGAAAUCAUCCCUGGAGAAAGCACAUAUCUCUCAGUUGACCACACGUAGCUUUUCGUCUAACAGUAAGACUACAUGAAAUUUCAUUUGUACACAUUGGCAUGUCUACUGGCAUUGUCAUGCCAGCCUUGGUUAGAUAACCAUACUAUUGAGAUUCCAUGGGGACAUUUUCCCGGUCAUGUCUAGGGGACACUAUCUAGCAGCAGCCAUCUUAAGUUUCUGGACUUCACAAGCAUUCUGUCCCAUCUUCUGCUGUGUUUCCCUGAGCCCUCAGGGUAGGGUUGCAUUGCAUGUAUGAGUUGGACUUGCUCCCCCACCCCAGUUAUUUAUUCUCCACCAUCUUGGCCAUUUAUACAUUUCUGUAACAGUCCCUAUCUGCUGCAGAUGGAGGCUUCUUUGAUGAGGGGUGACUGCUUCACUUAUCUGUGAGUAUAAAGAUAACUAUGUAAAAUAUAGUUAGAAAUUCUACUGGUUUAAGAACACGGCAAUAGGCUCUGCUCCCAGGUUGUGGUGGUUUGAACAUGCUUGGCCCAAGGAGUGGCAUAUUAGGGGGUAUGGCCUUGUUGGCGUAGAUGUGGCUUAGUUGGAGGAAGUGUGUCAUUCUGGGGAUGAGCAAUGAGAUCCUCCUCCUAACCAUGUGGGAGCUAGUCUUCUCCUGUCUGCCUUUGGAUGAAGAUGUAGAACUCUCAGCUUCUCUAGUCCCAUAUAUGCCUGGACAUCACCAUGCUCCUGUCUUGAUGAUAAUAGACUAAAUCUUUCAACCUGUAAGCCAGCCCCAACUAAAUGUUGUCCUUUAUAAGAGUUGUCUUGGUCAUGGUGUCUGUUCACAGCAGUAAAACCCUAACUGAGGCACAACUCUAUGACUUCAUCUACAAACACGUGGCUAAGUUUAUAGUAUCAUGCAUGGAUUUCCUAUUACUGCGUGGGCCUUUAAGACACAGCUGUUGAUUAAGCCUAAGAUCAAAGUACUACUGCUGUUCCACUGGGGAGAUCUUGCCGAUCCAGUAAUUGUUACGGUUCAUAGUUUUCACAGCUGGGCAGGACUACUUCUUCCUCUCCCUUGGCAGAUUACAUAGCAUCUUCUGCUCUGUGUGAAUCAGUCCUUAGUCAGGAGUUUCCCAGGACAAUUCCAGCUCAAUUCCUCCAAGUCCUGUUUCUAAGGGGUGUGGUGUCCUCAGCAGUGUUGUCUUACCUUCAAGUUUUGGAAGGCAACCAAGGGCAAUAAAACCUAUAUUGUUUUAGCAUGGUGGCUCUCAACCUUCCUAAUGGUACAAACCUUUAGUACAUUACGGUUCCUCAUGUUGUGGUGACCCCCCAACCACAAAAUUAUUUGCAUUGCUACCUCAUAACUGUAAUUUUGCUGCUGUUAUGGGUUGUAAUGUAGAUAUCUGGUCUUAGGAAACCCCUGUGAAAGGAUCAUUUGAUUCCCAAAGGGUUAAGAAGUACCAUUUUAGGACACUCUUGUGUUCUUCCGGCCUUCAACUAAAAGGAAGAUUUCUUAUGACCUUGGUAGUGGGAUUUUUGUCAGUGACUGGCUCUUAGAGGGAGCACCAAAACCCCCGUGUGUCAUGCAUGUAUGUGUGUAUGUAUAUAUGUAUGUAUGUAUGUAUGAAUGAAUGAAUGUAUAUGAAACAUGUCUGAAUAUGCACACACAUACAUGUAUGCAUGAAUGACUAUGGACAUGCAUAUAUUUAUUUUUUCAGUAAGCUUCUAAAAUAAUGUCUCCCUAUAGCUUUUAAGCAUCUUUAGUGUUAUUGAUUUCUUCCUUCUCCCUCUGUAGUGCCCUUCCCCACCCCUUUAAAGGUCUUCCUUUAUCCCCAUCACCCCUGCACUGUGCCUAUCCCCUACUAUAUAUACUAGGCUAUACUCUAGAUUUGCCUCACCCUCUUUCUUCAAGGUCCCCUUUUUCUGGCUUCCUUGGAUACUUCUAGUUUUUCACUCAAAUCCCAAGCCUGGAAGCGAGGAUCCACAAAGAGAAAACAUGCAGCCGUUGCGUUUCUGGGCCUGGCUUACCUCACUUACUACACUAUUCACCAGCUUCACUUGUUUACUUGCCAAUUGCAGUUUUCUCCACAGCUGCAUAGUAUUCAUUGUUUAUAUCUACCACAUUCUCACUAUCCAUUCACUAACUGAGAAGCAUUUAGGUUGUUUCCAUUUCAGAUAUAGUGAGGAGAGAGGUAGCAGUGAAGAUGGCCGAGCAUGUGUCUGUGGAAGGUGAUGUCAAGUCCUUUGGGCAGAUGCCAAGGAGUGACUGAGAUGGGUCACACGGUAGACUUGUAGAUCUACUUUUAAAUAUUUGGCAAUUCUGCAUGCCAAUGUCAAAGAGGCUGCACCAGUUUGCAACCCCACCAACACUGAAUGAGGGUCCUCUUUUUAAAAAAAAAAAAAAGAUUUAUUUAUUUAUUAUUUAUAAGUACACUGAAGCUGUCUUCAGACACACCAGCAGAGGGCAUCAGAUCCCAUUACAGAUGGUUGUGAGCCACCAUGUGGUUGCUGGGAUUUGAACUCAGGACCUCUGGAAGAGCAGUCAGUGCUCUUAACCACUGAGCCAUCUCUCCAGCCCAAAUGAGGGUUCUCUUAACCUGCAUCCUCAACAAUGUUUUUUUUUUUUUCUUGAUCUAAGCCAUUCUGACUAGGACAUUAUGAAAUCUGAGUAAUUUGUAUUUCUCUACUCUAGUGUGUAUUGCAGGAUUAAUCUAGUUCAAGUGUCCAAUCCAGUGAUGUCUCAUAACUUCACCGAGUCAGGUAAUCAUUUAGAACAGGUUUAGAACAUUUUAUCUUAUAUUUGAAAAGAUUUCCAUGGUCUGGUAGGGUGGCACAGCAGGUAAAGAUGCCAGCCGCCAUGCUUGAUACUGAGUUCAAUUCCCAGGACCCAUGUGGAAGAAGAAAAGAGUCAUUUCCCUAAAGCUGUCCCCUGACCUCUGUAUGUGCUAGGACACCACCCUUAAACAAAUAAAACAUAAUAAAAAAAUUAAAAAUAUUUUUGCAAGUAUGUAUUGCACGUUAAUCCAUGUCUUCCUGCCAUCCUUUUUCUCAUUCUUUUCCCCUUUUCAUUCCCGCUUCUAUUUUCAUUUUAUAUAAUACAUAGUUCAUGUAACUAUAUAAAAGUGAGACACAUGAUACUUUUCUCCUCACAACCAGCUUAAUUCUUUUAAUAUGAUUGUCCCCAGUUCCAUCCAUUCACCUGCAAAUGGCAUGACUGCAUUUUAUGGCAAAGAAGAGCCCAUUAUACAUAUUACUAUAUUAUAAGAUAGUAUAAUAGCAUUAUACGGUAGUAGUAUUAUACAUAGAUACUACAUUCUCCUUAUCCUAAUUAUGGGUUGGUUCCAUAAUUAGAUAUUGUAAAUACUGCUACAAUAAGCACGGGUGUGCAAGUAUGUCUGUGACACGUGGGCUUGGAGUCUUCUGAGCAAAUAUGAAGUUGUGGUAUAGGUUGGUCAUGUGGAAGAUCUAUUUUUAGACUUUUUUUUUGCAAAGGUUCUACAUUUUAUUACUGGACAAACCAUGCCUCCAAUUUGGACACGAGCAAGUCUCCAGGUUAAAAAUCUUAAACUCCGUCUGGUGGGCUGAUAGGUGACCAUAAUUCAGUUUAAACCCUCGGUCUUCCCAUUGUGUGAAUCCUUACAGGCCCAGCUUCAUUUUCCUACAGUGUCUUCCCUUGGAGUUGUACCAGAUUUUGUUACCAGUUUUCACCGGAAUCCAUUGAGAAGUAGGAUGGUUUCGCUUUUGUUUCUGGGCCAGGAAUUGCUAGAUUCUGAAAGUCUCAUGAGAAGACAUGGCAAGAAGCCAGACCAGGUAUAAGGCACUUGAUGGUAGAGAGAAGAAGAAACUAUUUUUAGAUUUUUUUUUAAAAAAGAAACCUUUAGCUGAUUUCCAUAUUGGCUAGACUUGUUUAUUCCCACCAGCAACACAUAUGAGUUCUCUUUAAUGCAUGGGUUUAUCAGCAUUUCUCUUUCAGGCAUCGUGGCUGGGAAUAAACGGAUUCAGAUGCCAAUGAGAUUGAAUGUGUGUGUGUGUGUGUGUGUGUGUGUGUGUGUGUGUGUGUGUGUGUGUGUGUGUGUGUGUGUUUAUUGGGUGAUGGUACUUCAUGUUUUGAGAACUGUCUGAUCCUUUUAUCAUCCCUUCUAUUGGGCUGCCUGAUAUAUAUCCUAGACAUUAUUCUUAUGUUAGAUGUCUAACAAUCAAAGAUUUUUCCCAGUUUUUUAGAUUGUCUCCCUACUCAUAUAAUCUCUUAAAUCUCAUCAAGUCCCAUUUGUCCAUUGUUGGCCUGGUUGAUUUGAGUCCUAUUAUGAAAGUUCUUGCCUAUGGUAUAUUGUGAAGUAUUUUUUUUUCUUUUUCCUGUAAAAAUUUGGGAGUUUCAGGUCUUAUGUCAAUUUCUUUGGUCCAUGUAGGGUUGACCUUAUGAAAUUAGAUUGAAGGAAUCUAGAAUCCAUUUUUUUUCCAGCAGCAGUCUUUUCUCUACAAUGUCCUUUCCUCCCCCGCCCUCUCUCUGUGUGCAUGAGUGCCAACUUUAUAAAAAGAGUGAGGUAGCUGUACGUGUGUGGUUUUACGCCAGUAUCUUUUGUUGUGUCUCACUGAUAAGCAUGUCUCUUCUUGUUACUAUUAUGCCUCUGUAAUAUAACAUAUGUAAUACCUUUAUCCUCCCCUUCCAAUGUCUUUUGUGCUUCCAAAUGAAUUUUAAUGUUUCUCUGUUUGUGUGAAGAAUAGCACUGUAAACUUGAUCGGCUUGUACUGAGCCUGUUGAUUGCUUUUUUGUAGGACAGCCAUUGUUACAACAUUAAUUCCUCCAAUCCAUAAGGAUAGGAUGUCUUCUCAUCAUCUAGUGUCUGCUUCAGUUUCUUCCAAGGGUUUAAGGUAUUUGUUAGAGGGAUCUUUCACUUCCUUGGUUAGACUUAUUAUAAGGCUUUCCCCCUUGGAAACUGUGAAUGAGAAGUUUUCUCCUGAUUUCUUUUUUGCUGUGUUUGUUAUCAGUAUAUAGAAAGGUUACUGGUAUGUGUAUGAUUGCUUUAAAUCCUGCCCCUUGGCUGAAAUUACUUAUCCCUUCUAAUUUUCCAGUGCAGUUGUCAAGGUCUUGUAUACAGAAUCACAUCCUUUGGAAACAGACGCUUUGGCUUCUUUCUUUCCUAUUUGUGUUUCUUAGCCUUUCUUCUCAUGUCCGUUGUUCUAGCUAAGAUGUCGGCCCUAUUGACUAGACUGUGGAAGAGGACUAACCUUCUCUUGUUCCUAGUUUUAGUGGAAAUGCUUUUGGCUUUUCUCCACUUUGUACAGUUAGCUACAUAUAGCCUUUAUUAUGCUCAUACAUAUUCCUCAACUCCCAGUUUCUUCAGGGCUUUUAUAAUGAAGAGAUGUUGGAUAUUGUUAAAAGCUUUAUCCGCAUCUAUUGAGAUUACUGUAGGCACUAUAAAUAGAGCUAUAAAUAGCCCUCUUAGGGCUGCUUUCAUCAUCUUCUGUAGGCUUUGCAUGCUGGGUCUUCAUUUUCAUCCAGUUCUAGAAAGUAUUUUAAUUUCCUUCUUGAUUUCUUCAGUGACCCAUUAAUCAUUCGCUAAUGUUCAGUCUCUCGGGUAUGCUGAUAUUCUAUAAUUUCUCUUGCUGUUGGUUUGUAGUUUUAUUCCAUUGUUGUCAGAACUUGAGAAAUCACUUCUCUUCCUAUGUUUACUAACACUUGUUCUAUGCCUUAAUGACUAACUUUAGAGAAAGCUCUAUGUGCUACAGAGAAGAAUGUGUAUUCUACAGUGUUUGCAUGUAACGUUCUCUAUAUGUCUGUUAGACUUACUUGAUCUAUGACAUCACUUAAUUCAAAUGCUUCGUUGUUGGGAUGACCAGUUAGUUGGUGAGUGUGGAGCGUUAACAUAAUCUACUAUUUCUGUGUUGGAGUUAAUCUGUAGCUUUACAUUUAAUAUUUUUUUAUGAAUUUGGGUGUGUCUGUAUUUGAUAUAUAUAUAUAUAUGUUUAGUAUUAUAAUGUUCUAUUGAUGAAUUUUUUCCUUCAUCAGCACGAGGUGACCUGGUUUAGAUCGUUUUUACUUCCUCAUAUCUAUUUACAGCUAUCUCUCAUUUCUACUCUUAAGCCUACACAGUCAACAAUUUAAUUUUCAGCUCUAAAUGUGCCCUUUCUAGAUAUUUCAUAUACAUGGAAUUAUAUAGCUUAUGUCCAAUGAUCUCUUGCCUAUGACUCUUUUUUGCAUUUUAUAGCACUUGUUGGUAGAUAAUUCCUUUUCAUUGCUUAAAAAAAAGUCUUCUAAUCUGAGAAUACACCAGCUUUUGUCUUUCCCUACAUGAGAUAAUUGGCAUUUAAAUUAUUUACAGUUUGGGACUAUGAAUAGACACCAAUUUUUGAAAUGAAGAAACUGACUUUAGGAGAGGGUGACUGUAACAGCAGUUGCUGCACAAGCCUUAGAAUCUGAGUGUGGAUCCCAGCAUCCACCUAAAAAGCUGGGUUGGCUGUGGGCAUUGUUGUAAUCCAGCACUGUGCUGGGCAGGGAGAGGAGGCUCUUUCUGGCUUGCUGGCUGCCAGCCAUGUAUUCUCAGGUUCAGUGAGACUGACUCAGAGGAAUAAGCUGAGGGUGAUAGAACUGAACACCUACUCUGGCUUAUGAACAUAUACACAUGUGUGCAUGUACUUCAUACACAUACAGAGGGGAGGGGGAGAGAAGGGGAAAGGAGGAGGGGAGAGGAGAGGAGAGGAGAGGAAGAAAUUGACUAGCUGGCUCAGCUAUUCUCCACAGAUUACAUACUACCCAACAUCAGAGCCAGGGCUUGGAUCCAGGUCACUCUUCUCUAAGGCCCAGACACUGUUUUCUUUCUCAAUGUGUUUGUUAUCAACAUAUAGAAAGGUCACUGAUAUUCGUAUGCCCCGAGUCUGUGGAUCCUUUUGCAGAAUAUCUAACUUUAACUAUUCUAACUUUGUUGGGUUCAUUUAUUCAUUUUUAUCUUAGUAACUUUUUUUUACUAUGAUAAGACACCAUGACCAAGGCAACUAACGAAAGAGAUCAUUUGGGGCUUAUAGUUACAGAGGGUGAGAAUCCCCAGCCAUCACAGCAGGGAUCAUGGUAGCAGGUAAGCAGGCAUGGUGCUGGAGCAGUAGCCGAGAGCUCCUAUCUUGAUCCAAAAGCAAGGCAGAUAGAGGUAAAUGGGAAUGCUGUGGGCUUUUGAAACAUCAAAACCCUAUGGCAGUGACACAUGUUCUCCAACAAGGCCACACCUCUUGGUCCUUCCCAAAGAGUCCCAAGAACUGAGACCAAGUUUUCAAAUACAUGAGCCUAUAGGAGAGCCAUUCUCAUUCAAACCACCACAGAUUUAUUAGAUUUUUUGAAAAUAUGUAUAGACUAUUUAUAACUAUAGUUACACUAUUGAGCCAUUUGUGAAUAGAUACUUUUUUUUCCAACUUCAAUGCCUUUGAUUAUUUUUCUUGUGACUCUGAUUAGAACUUCCAGAGUGAUCGUGAAGAGAAGUGUUAAGGAGAGGCAUCCUUGCCUUAUCCCAGAUCUCAGCCAGAGUUCUGUCUUUCACCAUCGAGUGGGAUGUUUGCUGUAGGUUUUCACAUGUGCCUUUUACUUUGUUGAAAUAGUUUUCUUAGUCAUAGUUUGCUGUGUGUUCUCAGCUACGAAAGGGGGUUUAAUUUUGUCAAAUUCUCUUCUUCGUCUCUAUAUUGUUACUGUCCCAUGUUGCAUUGUUAAAGUUUUGUAUUUUGAGUGAGCCUUACAUUUGAGAAAUAAAAUCCGCCAGUGUAUGCAUCCUUCAAUAUGCAGCUGAUAUUGUUUUGCUAAUGUUUUGUCAAUUGUUUUUUGCAUUAUUGUUCAUAUGGCCCACUGGUCGGUAGUUUUCUUUUUUGCUGUCCCUUUGUCAGGCAUUGGUCUCUGUGUAACACUAGUAUGGUGGCUUGAAUGAGAAUGGCUCUCCGGGCUUAUAUAUUUAAAUACUUGGCUGCAGUUGAUGGGACUCCUUAAGAAGGACUAGGAGGUGUGGCUUUUUGGAGAACAUGUGUCACUGGGAAAGGGUUUGAGGUUUCAAAAACACAUACCAGUCCCAUUAAUCCUGUCUUCCUUGCUUGUGGAUCAAGAUGUGAGUUCUCAGUUCCUAAAUCUGAGAAUCCUGUCUGCCUAUUGCCAUGUUCUUCUGCUGUGAUGGUCAUGGACUCUCAUCCUCUGUAACUGUAAGCCCCAAAUUAAACUUUUCUUUUAUAAAUUGCAUUGGUCAUGGUGUCUUACCAUCUCAACAACAAAAAAAAAUAAUUAAGACAACUAAACUCAUAGAAUGAGUGAGAAAGUGUUCUUUGCUUGCUAUUAGCUUUCUAAUUAUCGAGUAGAAAAAUAUCAGUAAUCCCAUAAGCUCUGGUGCUUUCUUUGUUGAGAGAUGAAUUUAUUACUCACUCAUUAUGCUUACUAGCUAUAGGUGUACUUAAACUUUCCAUUUUGUAAACUUAGUUUUGGGGAAUUUCAUACGUGAAUAUAAUUUUUUUUCAUCAAAAUCAUCUCUACUUCCUCCCUCCAACUGUUCUCACCACCCUUUGCCUCUGCUUCUUCCUACCAAUGUCUUGAACUCUCUUUCAAUAUUGGUGUUUGAGUAUUUUGUGUUUUGAAACCGGUUCUUUCUAAGUAGUUCUAAGCCUAGGACUAUGUAGGCCCAGGCCUCUAUGUAGGCCUAGGACUUGCUGUGUAGACUAAGCUGGUCUCAGACUCAGAGGUAUGCCUGCCCCUACCUCCUGAGGGCUGAGAUUAAAGAUGUGCCGCACUGUGUCUGGCCCAUGCACUCUCUUAAAUCCCACUGAGAACGUGUAGUGUUUUCAGUAUGUGCAUGGAUGAAGGACUAUGCCCUGGUACAUGGACAGUCUAUCGGGGACCACAUCUAAACAAACUAAUCCUGCCUCCCCCAGCAUUCACCAACAGCUCCUCAGCCAUUGGUAAGACUUCAUGAGGUCCUACCCCAACUGUGAUAAAAUUUCAUGCAGUUUGAUCCCGUUUACGUCCUGCAUGUGCAUGUAGUCACAGCUGCUGUGAGUUAUACACAUAACAUCUCUAUCAUGUCAGAAAAGACCAUUUCAUAGCGGUCCUCCACUAACUCUCAGUCUCACAAUCUUUCCAGCCCCUUUUCUAUGAUGAUCCUUGACCCUUAGAGGAAGGAAGUGGGAUAUAGAUGUCCUUCUUAAGGGUAACCACCUCGUAGUCUUUUAUUCUCUGUGCUUCGACUAGGCUUCUGUAUUGUUAGCCUCUACUUCUAAAUGAAGGUUCUCUAAUGAAGGCCGAGAGCUGCACUCAUCUAUGUGUAUAAAGGUAAGUGUUUGGGGAGCAGUGCAACACAAUGUCUGUUCAGCAGAAUAAUAGUAGUUGGUGCCCCCUUAGAGCCUAUGGCCCACUCAGUACUGUAAACAGUACUCUUAAAGUUAUUGUAAGUUCCAUAGCCUCAGCAGAAAAAUCUGUUCCCUUUCUGAUUUUGGUAGUUUGAGUUUCUCCAUUUUUCAGUGUAUGUGAAUAUCUACUAAUGUUAUUAAUAUUAAAAAGGCAAAUUUUAGAUUCGAUGAUCUUUCCUUAUUCUUUUUCUAUCAUCUAGCCAGGUAACCUCCUCCAGCAGCUUCACACAUCCUAAUUCUGAUGAUCUUUUCCCAUUUCAGUCAUUUUUGUACACUUCGUCAUUUUGUUUCAAUCUAGGUAUCUUUUUACUAUUACUUGUUUUUUUGUUUUAUUUGUUGGUUUUGCAAAAUGAUUGUGCACUUCAUGUUUCAGUGAUCAGCCUGGUAUAUAAAUCUAAGAUCCAUGGUCACUUUCUAAUUUUCCCCAGAUAUGCAAUAAUCUUUAAAAUGUUCUCAUUUUAAAAAAUAUUUUUCAUUAGUUCUUUGAGGAUUUUACACAAUGUGUUUUGAUCAUAUACAUUCUCUCCUCUAACCCCUCCCAGAUAUUUUCCCACCUCCCUACCUCCCCAACUCUUUGUCUCUCACUUUAAAACAAAGUUAAGCCCGGUUUAGUUGCCCAACUCCUCCUGUGAGUGGGGCCUGCCGCAGAGUAUGGUCACUGUAGUGCCACACCACUGACGAAAACUGACUUUCCCUCUCCCAGAAGUAAUCAAAUGCCAAUAAGUCCUCUGCUCAGGGUGAGACAUUGUCUUCCCUCACCCCUUCCACGCACAGAGUUUUUAUCUGGCUUGAGCUCGCUCAGGUCCUGUACAUCCAGUUACAACCAUGAGUUCAUAUGUACAACGGCCCUGCUGUGUUUGGAAACACUAUCUCCUUGAAGGGAUUCCCAGCCUCUGGCUCUUGCAAUCUUUCUGCCUCCUCUUGUGCAUAGUUUCUGAGCAUUGAGGGGAGACAUGUGAUACAGACAUGCCAAAGGGCUGAAUAGCCUGUAGUCUCUUAUUCCCUGAAUGCUGGCCAGUUGUAGGUCUCUACUAACUAUUGCAAAAGGAAGAGUCUCUAAUGAGGGCUGAGUGGCCGCUGUACUAUGGACAUAGCAAUAAGUCAUUAGGAGUCAUUAGUUGGUAUGUCCAUUUAGCAGAAUAAUAGUAGCAGAUUGUCCCCUAAGGCCUAUGAACUAUCCAGCCACAUACUCCAGAUCUCCUAAAAAUACUCCUUGGUUUUCUUUUAAGGAGAGAGAGGGAGGGAGAGAGAGAGAGAGAGAGAACACUAGAUCUCAAAGUGUGUGUCAUGGAAAUCACUUCAAUUGGAAAGGAAAAGUCUUGCAACAGGAUGGGAAGACAGAAGUGUUCACCCACUUUUUUAUCUGCACCCCUGUAUGGAGAGGCAAUAUCAGUGACCAGAGCAUACAUCUUCCAUCUUUAGGAGGAAAUAUCCAGAAGAGCCCUUUCACUCAUACUGGCCUCAGCAAAGCUAAGUUAACGCUGCUACAGGAGUGUGCCGUGCUCCAGGCAUGGCUGCCAUGGCCUGAACUUCCUGGGCAACACUGGCACUAGCAGUUCAGGCCUUCCACAGACUCCUGGUUCCAAAAUGUAAGGUCCGCUGUAUAGGUGUCUGGAUGGAGACACCCUCCCAAGGGCUUCCUAGUCUGCCUUUAUCCCCCAUUCUCUCUGUCUUGGUGUGACAAAAAUGCACUUAGUGAAAUUUGAAAAUCUAGGUCACUCGCCUGAUCCCAGGGUUGCUCCCACCUCUAGGUAUUUCCAGUUAUUGAGCCGUCUCUUUUCCCGUUAAAUUGGAGCUGAUCUAAGACCAGACUUAGUUACAAAAGAUCUUGUAACCUAUUUUUCUAUUCAACAUGGUGAAUACAGGAAUGCUGUCUCAAGCAGGAAGGGUACCAUUCUUAGAAGUUGAGUACAUUUGAUGAUGACUGUUCUCUGACUUGGAUCCAUAGAGAUCAUGAAAUUCAAAUUUACAGACACAUCAACUCCUUCAACUAGAUCUCAAGUAGAAUAGUCUCUGUGUUUCUCUAUCUGUCCCCUUAUCUCUAUGUAACUUAUAUAAUAUAUAAUAUGUAAUGUGUAAUAUAUAUAAUCACAUAUAAAUGGUUUUGAAGAGAUUUUUCUGAUAUGUUCCUUUCUAAUUUACUGUUCUUAUGUGCAACAAAGGAGAACCAACUAUUUGAGGCUAUUGAAUGGUGAGAUGUGUGCUAACAGGGUCACCACAGAUAAUCUAAGAGCCUUAUUUAGAAAAAAAAAAUCACACUGAAAACAAUAAAAGUGAAUGAAGGUGGACUUUUAAGGUCCUCUUUCAGGCCAGCAAAAUGGCUCAGUGGGUAAAGACAGCACCAGGCCUGAUGACCUAAAUUCAAUACCCGGGCCCCAUGUGCCAUGUGGUGGAGAGAACCAAGUCGUCCAAGUUGUCACCAUGUCGCAUGUGUGUGUACAUAGAAGACAAAUGUAAUUAAGAUGUUAAGAUGUCUAUCUCUAAAACUUUUCUUUGUUGUCUUAUUUAUGGAUCCCUUGUCAUCAGUACUUGGUCUGCACAUCCUCAGCUCUUCCUUGUCUUCCAAAGAUUUUCCUCUUCUUUAGCUAAUUGAGCUUUCAUUUUCUCUCCUCAGCUCAGGGUUUUUCUUGCAGAAAAAAAAAGCCAUGAUGUUUAGAGAAUUGAAACAUUUGUAGGCUUACUGUGGACCAUCUCUUACUGCCGAUGUGCAAUUUGUGGGUUAGAGACACGAUGGUGGUGGUGAUGAUGAUGAAGACUACGACGAUGACAAUGACAAUGACAAUGACGAUGAUAAACAAAAAGCCCGCUUAAUGGAGUCUUGAGAAGCCUGUUCCAAUUCAUACACGAAACCCAGGUGAGAGAGGCUUCCUAGCAGGCUGGCUUCUGGGAGCUCGGCAGAUGGACUAAAGAGGAGAAGGUUCUAGCUAGUAUGGGAAGAUUGCUCUUAUGUGGAGUGGUGAGGUUUUGAAGAGAUUUUUCUGGUAUUUCACUUCCUGGUUUGCUGAUGUGGUAUUCAGGGAAGCUGCCAAGUAUUUGGGGUUAUCUGGCAUGGGGGAGAUAUGUCCUAACAGAGUUCCCAUGAUGCCUUAUGUAUUAGGUUAAGCAAACAGAUGUUAUCAGAGGUGUGUAACUUGGUUUUCUCACUUACCAAACCUGUAAGAACCUGAUCAUUUAAAAAAAAAAAGAAAGAAAGAAAAGAAAGAACAAAAAAACAUUAAGUCCCCUGGACAGUAUCUACAGGGCUCAUCAAAGCAACGUAUUUUCUUCUCAAGUGAAAAUGCCAUGGGUUUGUUUGUUUCACUCUAAGAGUGAGGGUUUCAAUGUCAACCCUAUAAUGAUAUGGAGCAACUAGCCAUCUUGAAGAAGCUAUUUGAAAUUUAAUUUUCUCCCCCUAAAAUAUGUAUCUGGGAAAGGGUUACACUCUAAGAUUUUGAGGAAUGUGUGCAACUCAAUCUCUAAACGAUCCGGCCGACUUUAAUGCUGUUUGCAGCGAGCGAGAUUGCCAUCUUCCCCUUGUCUGGGUUAACAUUAAUUCAGGAAUACCCAAGGCUCCUAGCCAUAGGAAUGCCCUUGGUGCCAAGGAGUUCAACACAGCCUGGGCCUGGCACACUAUUCCCCAGGCAGAACUGUUGACCAAUUCAGCUACUGUUGGCAUGUAGUUUGCCAAGUACUAGAUAGGACAUAAUUAUGAGUGUUAUAGUCCCCCACCUCUAAAGACAUAUACAAUACAUACAAACCCACAAAAUCAUCCAGCUAGAUUCAUUUUACAAGACUUGUGCUUCCCAGUGUCUACAUUUCAGAGCUCUGGCACCUGACAGAAAAUGAUUUUGUAUUCAUAGAAUCUUUACAUAUCAUGUAUCUUAUGCCUACUUUCAAGGUCUCACUUAUUUACAUAAAGAUAUAAGUAUAUAGCAUAGGGAAUAAACACAUGCAAGUUCCUUAAAGCUGUCCCUUCAAAGUUAAAAGCUACAUGAUAUUUUAAAAGAUAUAGAUACAAGACUUGGGUUAUUGCAUGUACAAUAAUUGUGCAUUGAUUUUUUGAAGUCACCAUGGUGGAAGAACCGGAAGUCCACUGAUCGAUCUGAUAGGCUGAAUGACUUAUUUCCAUGACUUUGGAGCAAUUACUACCACCUAUGACAAGUCUCGGUGUGCCCUGAUUUUCAUGGACCCUCUAAGCAGGCAAACCCUUCCGCCUUCUGGAAUUUUAAAGUAGCCGAGCCAUCAGUCACCCAGCUGCCUCUCAGUCUUAGCAUUGGCAGUUCUUGUCUGCACGACUUCUGCUUUUCAGACCAGUUCUUUUCUAACAGAUAAAGUAUCUCUUGAUGGCGAAUCUAUAUCUUAGAAAGAGAGGUUCUUUUCCCUGUCCUGUAUGGACAGGCAACAACUAUAUGGCCUGAGGGAAAGUUUUGAUCGGCAAGGUUGGUGCUCUUAAAUUCAAACCCAUCAUUUGCGGAUACUGCUAAUAUUCUACGUACGCAAUCCAACAGCACUGUUUUAUUUUCUGCCUGGUCUUCUGAUGCAUUUGAUUUCUCCGUCACAGCUUUGUGUUAAGUAAAAGCCUACCUCAUCAACUCAGUUGGUCUGCCAGCAGCUCAUGUCUGCCCAAGUAACAGUCAGUCAGUUUAAUACUCCCUAAGGGCUACCCCAAGGUCUCUGGGCCAUUCUUUUGUAGGGAGACAGAAACUGCCUUUCUUGAUUUUCUUUUCACCCUGGCUCUCUUGACGUCUCUGAGUCUAAAUGGUGAGUGUUACUUUGUGGUGCUUUCAUUGGUAAGUCUAGCAUUUCCUCUCCCUUGAAUCUUGACCCUUUUUCUGAGAGUUUAUUUCUCUAGGACCCUGAAUCCUUCCUAGAGACAAGAGUGUGUUUAAAACCCCGAACAAAAGAGAUAGCACGCUUACCUCAGACCAAGAUGGGAGGGAGGUGAUCCAGUGAGCAGAGGCUGCCCCAGAUACAGCCACAUGUUUCUCAGGACAUCACACCUGCCUCAUGUCAGCCUGUUCAUUGCAACUGGGACACCUCCGAUGUUACUCUUAACAACACUAGACCUACUACCAUCUUCUGCUAUGGCAAAGCAGAAGCCACCUAAGCUCUGUCCUUUUGGGUCUUUAUAUUUUUUUCUCUUGCAACCAAAGGGUACCAGGUCAGGGUCUAACUGCUAGAUCCACUUAGUACCAAAUGUUCUCCUCUGUCUUCCAGUUAAAUCCUCCCUGCCCCGGUAUGUCAUCCCACUUGGGUGGUGGCCACCACAAUGGUUUCAACGUAGAAUAGAUGCAGGGGAAGCUUGUUGCUUUAGGGAAUCCAGUUACUCUCUCAGUUCUAAAAUAAAACCCAGCGGAUGUUUGUCAGGGACUCGGCACUUAACUCUUCAAAGGGAGGAAGGAAGCUUAAGUGUUAUUUACAUACCUGUAGCUGGCACAGGCAGAAAUUUAGGCUUUUGGGAUAAGCAGUAGUCUAGGGGAAUUCUGAGGGAGAGACAAUCAAGGAAAUUGCAGCCCUUUGGGCUCCAACAGAAGCAUCAAUUAGAGGAGGUUGAGAAGAAGAGAAUGCCUAUUGUCCAGGCAAGGGUUGGGGGAACUUCCUAAGUAAUUUAGACCAGAGCAAGGUUGUAUUUGGAGGUGCGUUGAAUUCUUUCAAGGAUUAAGAUACGGUGGGUGCUGCCAAAUAUGUUAUUACUAAGGAUAUUGUAAUUUUUCACCUAUUCAAAAUGCUCUGUGUGAGAAUUUAAAAAUGUGAGAAUUUAGUGUAGAGAGUGUUUGAAAAAAGAUCACUGAGUUCUUUCUGUGAUGAUCUGAAACUAUUGCUGCUGUCUAAAUGGAAUUGUCUGGACUCUCAAAACUGGAUUCUGGCUGCGUUAGAGAAUUUGUGCCUGAUAAUAGUGUGUGUGUGUGUGUGUGUGUCUGUGGGCUUUUCACCUCCUACUAUGAGUUUUAAAUCUGUAUUUCAAAAUCAGAAAAAGGAAACCCAAUCCUGAGGGUCCCCUUCCUGGCAUAUAUUUCUGCUGCAGGCAGAUUGAGAGCAUUAAAACAGACUUUUCACAAAUGAAGAGACAUGGAGCGUUUCAGCCCAUGACAGGACACUUCAUCUGUUGCCUAGGCAACUGCAGAUUUCUGGCUCUUGGGCUGGCUGCCUGAGGAGUGUCUCAGAGCCCCAACCUUGUCUGCUGUCAGUCACUGUCAGACGGAGCACAAAGACACUGGUAGUGAAUUCACAGUCUCUUAGCUUUCCACAAACAAUGAGACAAGCCAUGAAUUAUCCAGCAAAACCAAGCAGGGACUCUGAGGACUGAGUAUACAUACAGUACCUGCUCUGGUUUGUAUGUAUUUAUCUCCUCCAAACAAUUUGUGUUGGCAGCUUAAUCCACGGGACAGUAGCUUUUUGGGAAGGUAGCCCUUUGGGAGGUGUUUAGGUUCUGAGCACUUUGCCCUCAUGAACAGAUUUAAGGGGCUCUUCGUUCGUCUUUUCUCCUAUGUAAGGACAGUUUUCCUCUCUUCUGGAGGAUACAGCUAUAAGGUACCAUAUUGGAACCAGAGAUGAAAUAGUCUACCAGUGACUUCAACUUAGACAUCCCAGUCUCCACGAACUGUGAAAGAACUCUGACCUUUAUAAAUUACCCACGCAUUCACAUUCUGUGCUAGAAAACAUACAACAGACUAAGUCAUAAUCAGCCAUGAGUUUGAACGUACACAACAGAAUUUCAUCAAAAAUGUAAAUGGUAUAUACCUAGCCUAAAUAGGUCUAAAAAUUAUGGGCAGAUGACCCAACAAUCAAACUCAUAUGUUACCAAACGAACCGAUAAUAUAUGUACCUUAUGAAGUUUUGCACACAAAAGUUUACGAUAGCCUUUACCAAAAAUGUUCCUCAGUAGAUGGAUGGAUAGACUGUGAUGCAUCCAGACAAUGUCGGCAAAGGAGCUGUCUGGGAGAGAACUCUCUCAGAAGAGUACUUGCCUAGAAUGCAGAACGUCCUGGCUUCAAUCCCCACCUCCACAUAAAACCCAUUGUGCAUGUAAUCUCAGCAUUUAUAGACGGAGGUGAAAGGAUCCCAAAUUCAAUGGCAUCCUUGAACACUGAGCUUAAGCAAACCUAGUAUCCAGGAGACCUUGUCUCUGGGGGGGGGGGGGGGGGGAGCACUACGAAGCAUAAAAUGUUAUGAAAUCUCAAGCGUGCAUUACAAGCACUACAAGAUAGAAGUCGUCUGAAAAGCUGUGAUCUACGCGAUCUCAACUUUCUGAUGUGCCGGAAAAAGUCCGGCUGUGAGGACGGACCACAAACUAUUCAGUGGUGGCCAGAAUAGGAGCAAAAGGUAAAUAGAUAAAGCCCAGAAGAUUUUAGGGCAGCCAAAUGAUUCUCAUCAUAUUAUAAUGGUGGAUAUAGUCCAUUAGACAUCUGUUCAAAGCCCAGAGAAUGUACACCACGGAGACUGGUCUCUGUCAUAAACUGUGGGCUUUUCAUGACAGUGAUUUGCCAGUGACAGGUCACUGAUUUUAGGCAAUGGACUCCAGCGUAGGAUGCUAACCAUAGGGGAGGCGGAGUGUGUGUGAAGAAAGGGUUUGUGCGUGACUCGGUAGUCUCUGCUUGGUUUUGAUUUGAAUCUAGAACUGGGAAAUAAAGUGUAUUUUAAAAUCGUGAGCAGGAAACUCAAGCCAAUACUAUGUAAAGAUAACUAAUUGAACGAUGUUACAAUGGUGGCUUCGUGUCACUCACUGCACAUUUGUCUAGCCCCAUGGGAUCUACGACACCACCAAUGACUGGACUUAUGCUAGCAUAUCAUUCGCAAUAAACAGACUUUUAUGGGAUGUUGAUAGUAGAGGAGACGUGGAAAGUUAUGCAGACAUGUUUUGGAGCUCAGAUCUGAGGUGAAUCUCAAGCUCCUCCGAAAGCAUAAUUUCUUCAAGUUUAUUUUCUUUUUAUUGAUGUAUUUGUCUGUCUGUCUGUCUGUGUGUAUGUAUGUAUGCAUGCAUGCAUGUGUACAUGUGUAUGGGUGCCUCUAGAGGCCAGGAGUCAGAACCCCCAGAGCUGGAGAUAGAGCAAGUCGUAAGCCACCUAAUGUGUGUGCUGAGAACUGAGACCUGUCACCCUGCAAGCACUUUCAACAGCUGGAGUCAGGUCUUCAGCCCCACCCAAGCCUAACUGUUAAAAAAAUAAAAUCGUUCAGGCUUUGUAAAGGGAGACAGGCCAGUUCAAAGGGCUUUACACAAGACUACUUGGGAAAGUUGCAUUACUCUGUGGUACAGUGAGCAAAGAAACGGAGUGGCUAUAAAUGACUCCAAGUGCAUUUCUAAUGCCGAUAAGGGCCUCCAACUGCCUGCCUGGGUGAGAAAAUAAUUUGGUUUGCUCUAGCUGGGAUGCUGGUAAUGCUGGAGCUGACUGUGUUUCUUGUUUGCAUUUGGAAAUGAAAUGUGGAAACACGCUGAGAUUUGUAAAGGUUACAGAAGAGAGAAUAUGGCCUGAAGAAAGGUGAUGUUUUGUAUAACGAUCUAAUUAAUGCAUAUAUCUCUCCAUCUCGGGCCCCCUGCCUUGGGGCAGGAAACCUUAACCUCCCCCAAGUCUUCUCAGAGCCCAGACACUGGGGAAUGUUGCAUAACCACUGAAGGGGCAGCUACAACUACUGCUAUUUUGUUUCAAGCCCUCCCCUUCUCUUUCUUAGUCUGGUUUUUGCAACUACUGCUGUUGCCGGAGGAACAAAAAGUAUCAAAAGAGCUACGAGGUAGUUUUGUGACAAAGCCCUCUUGCUAACCUUGGAAUUCCAACUGUCCAAAGCCGGCAGCCACACCUUGUUACCAGGUAGCCUUCUUGUCCCCGCCCAGAUGGUCAGUCCGUAUCUGUGCCUCUGAUCUUGACCUUGAAAAAUCAAGUACGACCUUUUUAUGAAGUCCAUGUUGCAAACAGGAAACUGCUGUCUUGAAAAAGCUAGACCAACAGGAUUCAAAGUUCAAGUCUACCACUUACUAGCUGGGAGACCUUAAGUAAGCUAUUUAGGAUCUGUUUAAAAAAAAAAGAAUAUUGCUACUUAGCUCAUCGUGAGUUGUGGGAAUUAAAUGAUGCAAUCUCUGUGAAAUGCUUGGGACACUGUACGCUCUAAGAUUGGCUUCCUAGGCUGUUGGCUUGCUGGCUUCCUCUAGUUUCGUCCUAGGUUUGGGUAGCUCAUGACUUGAUGUAAUACACUUGGGAAUGGGAAACACUGAGCCACAUGACAAGGAACAACAUAUUCACAAGGAACGCUGGUAUUACAUUUCAAUUUCAUAACACAACUGAAAAAACAAAGCUAGCAAAUUUUUUUUUUUGUUUUUUGGUUUUUUUUUUUUUUUUAAAGACAGUUUCGGUGACAAAAAUACCACCAACUCAACAAAAACCUCUCCAGAACCAACACUUGGCUUUACCAAUCCUGCUGUCCUACGCAUGUUUACCCUAAGAGGGCAAGAUGUUUUAAGGGAUAAAAAAAAAAUCUGUUCAAUAAUUUUGAAAACAUGACAAUGGGCGUGAUAAACCCUAUUAUGUUAAGGAUGAGAAAAGCUUGGUGUCUCUUGGUUCUCCAACUGUGCCUUCUUUUUGGUUCAUAAAGAGAAUGUGUUAUCCUCUACCAGUUUCCUGUUUGCACUCUUGAGGUCAGGGCUGUGCCUGGACAUGCUUGUGAACUGGCUUUGGGCCUGAUGGGCCACUCAGUGGGAAUUGUGGCUUUUGCAUCUCUUCCAAUAAGCUUUGCUCACCAGUCAAGGAAACAGUUGUUCUUGGACUAUGAUCCAUGAGUUUAGGGAUACAGGAACAAUAUGGAUUUGAGUGACAUUUCUGUUGGCCAAUGAAGCUUUCAUCGUUAUUGUGGUAUUAGGUGUUUCAUUGAGCUCCAAGCCACUAUUGAAAUACUCUUGCUUGAAAAAUAUUUUGCUCUAUUAACCAUUGUGGAAUAAUGGCUUUUAAUGUGUUUGAAGUUGAUUAAUGCUCUUAUAGAAAUCUAUAGCGAGGCAUAAGACAAUACAUGGCCAUGCUUUACAGAAAUGUGUUUAUGAACACAUAUGGAAUUACCUCUCCCAGCGAUAGCUAAGAGAACUGACUAUCUUGAUAGAUAUCUCUGUAUCUUCUCUGCUCAAUAUGGUAGCCACUAGCUACAUGUAGAUAUUGUAUGUGUAAGUUAAAUUUUAUUUACUGUAUUUAAAUUUAAACAGCAACCAUGUGGUGAAUGGCUGCCCUACAGGAUAGGGCAAGUUUAAAACAUAAUGAAAAGUCACUUAAACUCUCUGGAUCUCAUUUCGCAAUGUGCUAUGUGUUUGAAUUUGACCAUUGAGUUUCUCAACCUCAGUUGUAUAAUGAAUUCACUCAGGGGUCAUUGGAAAAUGCUGAUACUUAAGCACAUCCUCCCAGUGUUGUUAAUUUGGCAUUGAUAUUUUUAUUAGCUUAUUGACUUGUUUAUUUUGAACGUGGGGAGAUACACACACACACACACACACACACACACACACAUCCCACAGGCUGUGUGUGGAAGACAGAGGCAACUUUUGGGAAUUAAGUCUCUCCUUAUAUCAUGUAGUUCCUGAGGACCAAACUCAAGUUGUCAGACCAGGUGGCAGGAUCUUUUCCCGCUAGGCCAUCUUGCCAACCUGAAAUAGAUAUAUUUUUAGGGCUACAGACAAUAGGACAGUCAAGGUUGGGCACUAGAACUGAACUGAAUUCUCUCUAAGCUUCUAGCUCUGUAUUUCAUUAUAAAAUAUGCUCAAUUUAAAACACAUAGAGUACUUGUUUUUUAAUCCUGUAAUAGAAAAUUACAUAGUGGUUUAAAAAAUGUAGAGGCGUCCCUGAAACACACUUGAAACAAUUAUUUGGAAGCAUUAGACUGGGUUGACUUGAUAUACUCCUCAUAGGAGAUUUUCCGUGUCGUUAUAAAUCACGAGUUUAAGCUAGGAACAAGGAAAAGGCUGUGUGUGUAUACUUGUUUUGGAAUCUGAUUACAGCCUUGUAUCAAAGCUUGGCCAUCUGCCCAAGGACCUGCAUGGGGUGACCUCACUGAGUAACCCAAGCUGUAAGUUUAUGAAGCUCUCAGUGGGAGGUCUUUGGACGACCAGUUUGGAGCAACACACUAUUGCUGAGUUUGUAUCUUCCCUGGGAUUAGAGAAACAAAGUCUUUGGCCAAGGCAUUCUGUCUCAAAGCUACCACAGAAAUGGGUCCAGGGAGAAUUGGGAGAAUUGGAAAGUUUGUUCCUAGAACAUCUAGGGUUUCAGGCAAAUGGGCAUUUCUCUUAGCUCCGAAUGGCACAGUGUUAAGUGAAAUCAUUUUAAUUUUUUUGUUUUUUUUUUAGUCUGACUAAUUAUAAUAUAUAUGUUUGUUUGUUUGUUUGUGGACCUUCACUAAUUACACACCAUUUUCAUUGUCGAACGAAGAACUAUGCAUACAAAAUGUUGAUCAUAAAGGAGGUAUUACAGGUUGUUUUAAUUACCAUCACACAGAGUCUAUAUAUAACUCAAUGUCAUACUUCUUUGAAUAUCUUAUGGGAGAGAUGAUUUCACAAACAAAUAAAUCUCACUAAGAAAAUGCUGUUGUCGUCUGUUCACAAGAAUAGAUGAGAGUCUGUUGUGUGACUUUUACAGGGGAGAUAUAAAGAAGGCAUAAUUUCUAGAAAUAGGGUACUGAAAAAUCAGAGAAGUGAUACCAUCCAGGUCCAACUUAGAAAACCAAUGAAUUUAUUGAUGUUAUUUAUUUAUAGGUGUAUGGGUGACUCAGGCAGCUGCAUCAUUGAAUGAUCUUAUUUAAUCUGGGUAAUGAAACAUUAAGGCUUUACCCAUGAGUCCUAUCCUAUCCCCAUUCAGCUUUUCAAUAUAUAUAUAUAUAUAUAUAUAUAUAUAUAUAUAUAUAUAUAUAUAUAUAUAACUGGUGGCCAGGAGGGAGUGCAGUUAGAUUGGAGUAAGUUUCUGGUGAUGGCCUCUUCCUUUCAUGAUGGUGUCAACAGUCCCAUUAUAGUCACUACAAGCUAGCUCUCCCUGUAUCACUCUGCUUACCUUGUUACCGUAAAUUUAGGUUCUAUGAUGGCCAGUGUCACUGGCCAGAUUCAAAGAGCUCUAUCCCAACAGACCCUACCUCAUACUGGUGCAUAACUCACUUCCAAGAAUGUUACAGUUAUAAAUGUGAAUGGCAGAACUUUUGGACAAAUUCUUGGAUGGAAGGUAUUCUCUAUCUCUUAAGUUAUGGAAAUGAGACAAAAACAGCAGCAGGAUGGUCUUCACAAGACUAAAAAAAAGUUUAUGCAUUAAAAUAGCAAAAGUAAAGAGAAAUAUGGAUGUGGAAUAUAUAUUUCCCAACCAUAGUUUUUUAAAAAAGAAAGAGUUCUUACAAAACAGUAAGAACAAAGAAGAAAAAAAGAAAGCAAAAGAAAAAGAGAAAAGUAAAAAAAUAAAACCCAAACACUGCUAACCAACUCUUCACAGAAGAUACUGAACCUGUCACCAAAAAUGCAAAAAAGGAUGCCCACCUUCUCUAGUAAUCAGGUAAAUAAGAUUUAAAAAUAACACAAUAUCUAAAACCACAAAAGGGUAUCGGAAAGUAUAAAAACCAGUUCAAAGCAUUGACAAGGAAAUGGACAAAAGAAACAAUCGAGCAUUGUUAAUGGGAGGGAAACUGGCAUAGCCCUUUAGAGAGCAACUUGACAAUAUGCAGGAAAGCAGGUGGUGUGCAUAGCCACCUCCCGGCAUGGCUCCUACAUUAGUCUUUGUAUGUGCUUGAAGGUUGAUAUUUCUUCAAGUAGCCGUAGACUUGUUCCUUCUAAAAACAAAAUGUUGAAAAUAUUACUGCAAUUAAUUGGGAAAAUGGUAGGUGAGCUGUGGCUAAUGGUUCGUGAGCUGGGCCCGCUCAUGUCAAUAUAGCUCAUCAUAGUGAUGAAUGAGAAGGGAGGUGAGGUGAUUAGCUUUUCAGUACAAAGUGAGCAUUGUAGAUACUGAGACCACCCUCUCCUGGGCCUUCUCUCUUGAAGAUAAGGCAAGAUGCCCCUGGUUACAUUAGCUUUAUGACAGGAACAUGGACUGGGGUGUACAGAGUUUCAAGUUCAUUUGAAAUGAUUCCUCAAGCACUGUGUCUCCACAAGUGAUCAUUACACAGAGAGUUUAUGUUGUGGUAAUUUGUUACCCCAGUAAGCCCGAAAAAAAAAAAACCACACAACCCAGUUAAUAUAUUUAUAAGCUAUAUGCCUAGAGUGGGCAGAUCUAUCACUAUACUAAUUUACUCCCCAGCUAUGAGAUCCUUUUUGACUUGCAGUUUCUUUAGGCCAUGUGGUUCUACUCCAUCUUCCUUCUACCUCAUCUUCCUCAGUUCUCCUCUCUCUCUUCUUCCUUCUCUGAGACCUUCAGUCCCACCUUUCCCUUCCACUGCCCAAUCAUGGGCUCUAGUCUUUAUUUGACCAGUCAAAAUGGGGAGAAGGUUCAGUGAUAUCACCUGAGUAUGUGAUCCACUCCUUAUGGUGGGCAGCUUCUCUUGAGGAAGUAGAAUUAACAUCAAAAUACAAACAUCACCAGGGCAACCGCAACAAGUUUGGAUGCUUAAAAUGUUUUAUCAAGAAGCAAAAGGCAGUACAUUGACUAGUCCCCACAGAAUAGCUAAUGACACGAUUUUAGAGAUUAAGGACAGGAAACUAUAUAAAGUCCCAACUUGAGGGACUUUAUAAACUUUACUAAACAAUAUAACAUAGUUAUUGAGUUUUCAUGGCUUGUGGGUAUGAGUCUCAGGCCCAGACUCAGCUGCACAGGAAACUGUAAUAAAGAUUCACAUCUUUUCUAAGUCCCUUUCUGGCCCCAGUCCAUGGUGAGGAAGAACAAGGAAGCUUGUUUUGGGUGCUGAGAGUCCUGGAAAUCCCAUCUGACUCUACUCUCUUAGCUGACCUGAUGUUGUUGACCCCUUCCAAUGUGCCUUUCCACCUGGAUGGCUCUCUACACUCUUCCCCUGCUGUCCUAUAGAUCAGAAAUCCUUCUGGCUAGUGUAGGCCUGUACUAGCCAGGCAGAGGUAGGGCAGGAAGCAUUAGUAGCUAUUUCAAAAGCAUUGCUCUCUCAUAAACUUCUCUUCCCUAUGCAGCUUCAAUCUAUACAGGAAAUGAGCAUGGAGGAUUUGUGGGGUGAGGAGUUUGGGGAGAUAUAGCUGCUUAGGUAAAUCUGGCCAGAAUUAUAGCUAUCUGACUAAUCAUUAUUAAAGCACUUCCUUUAUUUUUGAGAUGGACAGAGUCUUACUAUGUAGCUCUGCCUGGCCUGGAACUCACUAUGUAGACCAGCCUAACCUCCAACACACAGGGAUCUGCCGAGCUCUGUUUCAGAAUAAUGGGAUCGAAGGUGUGUGAAUCACUGUGCCAAGCCAUAGCAGCAAAGUCAAAGCCAAAGCCAAACCAAACAAACAACAAACAAACAAAACCUCCACUUACUUUAAAAAGAAAGAGCCAUCUUCUUGAGAGAACAAGACCGGAAGAUGGAAAUUCAAGGUCUGUCUGGGCCAAUCUAGAUAACUUAAAGAGAUCAAGUCUGAAAAUAAAAAAUAUGAGGGCUGGGGAUAUAAGCACAAUUGCCUAGCAUGUGUGAGGUCCUGUGUUCACUUCUCAGUAGAGGGAAGGGAGUAGGAAAGGAAGGAGGGAAGAUGGGAAGAAAGGAAGAAAGGAAGGAGGUAAGAAAGGAAGAAGGGAAGAAGCGAGACAGGGAAGUAGAUUGAUUUAAAAAAAAAAGUAGUUCAAGGGUUGGCAGGGUGGUUCAGUGGGUAAAGGAAGGUAAAGUAGUUGCCACCAAGCAUGAUGAUCUGAGUUUGAUCCCAGGAUCUACAUGGUGGGAAGAGAGAAUGGACUCUUGAGAGUUCCAUGUCACACGCACAUACCUUUCAGCUGUGUGAACACAUACUUGCUCACACACACAACAGAUAUAAGUAAAUGUAAAUUCUAAAACAUAAAUUUUCAAACAUUUUGUUGCUGUCAAGGCAACAUAUGCAAACUAAAUAAUAAAUGCUUUGGGAAGUAGAUACAGAAAGAGUUUUCAGGGUUAUACUUCCAACUAUUGAGCUUUCAAAAUUGAAUCCAGGACCUCCUACACACUAGACAAGUGUUCUGCUACUGAGCUGUAUCUCUGGCCCUCUUUUUACUUUAAGAAUGAAUAGCAUUAAGUUGUCUUUUUUUUAGAAGUCCCUGUUUAGUCAGAGGUAAGAGGUGGCAUCUCUACACAGACCUACACAAGGUUUAAUGGUGUCUGAAGCCUAGAGAGUUCUGUUUCUUACUAGAUCUCAACUUGGCUAUUCCUAACUCAAAGGGCAGAACCAAGUUUGCUUUGAAAAGUCUGGGAUCUAUUCAGGGGACCAUGGGUACUGCUGAUCCAACCUAAGUCCUGAUAUCUUCAAAUUUUACGAAAUUUAGUUUUGUUUUUCAAGACAGGGUUUUUCUAUGUGGCCCUGGCUGUCCUAGAAUUUGCUUUGUAGACCAGACUGGCCUUGAACUCAGAGAUCCACUUACCUUUGCCUCCUGAAUGCUGGGACUAAAGGUGUGUACCAUCGCACCCAGUUUGAGAUUAAUGUUUUAAGAUUCAAUCAAAGAGGGGUCUUUGAAGAACAAAUGCCUGGUGUUGGGGUAGCAGUGACUGAAACACAUUCCCAAUUAGUCAAUGAUUCUGCAGCUAUUGUCUCCAGAUCAGCAGCUCUUGGGAAACUGAUGACAUUAAAAUUCUUCAGCUCCUUCUGCUUCUGUUGAAAAGGAUGCUGUGUUUGAUUGUGGUCCGAAGCUUUGAAGCACUACUUGGCAUCUCCUUCCUUGGAGGUCUCACUGUUUAAACAUAACAGAUUUGAUAGCUUGUUGGUAAGGUGAGGUCCAGCUUGUCUCCACUAGGUCAUCUUCAUGUGAAUCCGGUGGUUAUACGGUUUUGUUCUAGGGAUAUUUCAUUUUUUUAAUAACGGUUUUAGCUGACAUUCAUGGAGAGAAUAAAUCCUUAGAACUGUGCCACUAGUGAAAGGAAAUCCUGUCUAGAUUAUGUUUCUUUAAAAAGCUGUGUCACACCAUCCUUUGGGCCCUCUGCUGGAAAAGUAGAAUCAAGUCUCAAAUAAUGCCUUUUAAAUUGUAUCCUCUAGUAUUAUAGAUGUAGGACAGUACUGUAUCAUACCUCUGUGGAUGUAAAAUAGCUUUUACCUGCUUUAUGAUACGUAGUAGGGACCGUGCUUUAUCAGAGCUGUUUUUAAUGAUGUUGCUCAGAAUGUUUUCUUUCCAGAUGAUGAUUGAGAAGCUAAUUUAAAAAAAAAUGGUGCCAGGUUAAAAAAAAAUGUGAUGGCACUCCAUUUAAAAAUUCAUGAAAUAUAGGAUAAUCACUCUGAAAUUUUGUCUUUUCUGAACAAAUGUUUUUUGUUAUAGGAAGAAUUGUAGAUAGAAGCAUAAAUGUAAUAUGUGUGAUAUAUGUUUUUGUUAUAUUUAAACAUAUAUAUAUAUAUAUGUAUUCCAGUAAAGGUUUAUAUGCAAAAAAAAAGAAGGUAUAUUGAUAGAAUUUUGUGAUUUAAAAAUACAUUGGAGUUUGUACUUCAUGUAAGCCAAGGAUUGUUGUUCCAUCCAUGUUAAUCCAUGGUCUUAAAUAUUGUUUUACAGUAAUUUAAAAUAAUAUUUAAAAUAAAUAUUUGGUAUUUAAAAAAAAAAAAGGAAGCCAAA